CUCAGUCGUGUCUGACUCUUUGUGACCCUGUGGACCAUAGCCCUCCAGGCUCCUCUGUCCAUGGGAUUUCCCAGCAAGAAUACUGGAGUGGGUGCCACGCCCUCCUCCAGGAGAUCUUCCUGGCCCAGGGAUUGAACCCACAUCUCUUACAUCUCCUGGACUAGCAAGCCCAGGAGGAAGACUGAACUUCCACAGUCUCUUGUGUGGCUGGGACCACAGCUGUGGCCAUGGGGUGGUAAGCAGAAAAGACAUGGGUCCCCUGCCAGGAGGAGCAUGGACAGCCUUCCAGAGCCUUUUGCUUUGCUGUCACCAUCAGGCAGGUUCAAGACAGUGAUGGUUCCUUCAGCCUAGAUACCUGAGCGCCUGCACCAGACAGCGGCCUCACCCAUGCACGACCAGACGCUUGUGCAGUGUUUGUCCUAAACCUUUCUUCUGAAGCACUGAUAUCUUGAGGGUUUGUUUUUUUUUUUAACUGCAACAUAAUCUUGCUCUCCCAACUGAAACCAAAGGAUAUGAAC
ensembl:lncRNA